rnacentral:piRNA from 1 species
CCAACAGUAAUGGACCGCACCUAUCGC